rnacentral:rRNA from 1 species
UACGUAGGGUGCGAGCGUUAAUCGGAAUUACUGGGCGUAAAGGGUGCGCAGGCGGCGUCGCAAGUCAGGCGUGAAAUCCCCGGGCUUAACCUGGGAACUGCACUUGAAACUACGAUGCUGGAGUAUGGCAGAGGGAGGUGGAAUUCCACGUGUAGCGGUGAAAUGCGUAGAGAUGUGGAGGAACACCAGUGGCGAAGGCGCCUCACUGGCCGAUUAUUGGCACUGAGCUGCGAAAGCAAGGGGAGCAAACAGG